AUGAAGCACUUGUUGUUCGUGAUGUAACUAAGGCUGAGCUGCCAGCUAAUGAAAGCUUAGAAAAAAGGAGUGAGUCUGCAAUUUGAUGAUUUUGUGUUUGAGCAAAUCAUAUGGUUUAGGCAAGGGAAUCAUAUGCAAGUUACAGUGAUGCAUUGGCUUCAUUCCCAGAAAUGCAUCCUGGCUGCCUGAAGUUGUGGUGUUCUCAUUUGCAGCUUGUCUGCAUGUUAUUACAAUGAUGUUGAUGUUGGAGUUCAUCUUCAAUAAUGUGGUUAGUUUGUGAGAUUCAUUGAAGUGUUGGUGUUAAAUAUGAUUUGGUAUUUGGUUGAGAUGUUAAUUAGUUCUAUACUUACUCUAUCCAAAUAAUGGUUCAUUGGGUUUGUUUGUCUGUUAUCACAAUGAUGUUUCAUUGAGUUGCUGUUGGAGUUCAUCUUCCAUAAUGUUGGUUGGUUGGUUGAAACGUUACUGUAUCAAAACAAUGGUUCAUUGAAAUGUAUGAUAAUGUUGUAU